GACGAACGCUGGCGGCGUGCUUAAUACAUGCAAGUCGAACGCAAAGACCCUGCUUUUUUUUGCUUCCCGAGUGGCGAACGAAUGGGUAACUCGUAAGUAACCUACCCUUCACUUAGCGAUAACUUCCCGAAGCAAGGGCUAACACCUGACGCAUACUCCUGCCGCAUGGUGGGGUUUGGUAAGUUCGGGCGGUUCGGCAUUCACUCGCGGCGUAUCAGCUUGUCGGUGGGGUAGUGGCGUACCGUGGCUCUGACGGAUAGCCGACCUGAGAGGGUGAUCGGCCACAUUGGGACUGAGACACGGCCCAAACUCCUACGGGAGGCAGCAGUAGGGAAUCUUCCGCAAUGGACGCAAGUCUGACGGAGCAACGCCGCGUGUGUGAAGAAGGUCUUCGGAUCGUAAAGCACUGUUAUCAGAGAAGAAUAGCCUAUAGAGUAACUGUUAUAGGUUUGACGGUAACUGAUCAGAAAGCCACGGCUAACUACGUG
rnacentral:rRNA from 1 species